CACGUAUUUAGCCGUUCCUUUCUGGUAAGAUACCGUCACACACUGAACAGUUACUUUCAGUGCCGUUCUUCUCUUAUAACAGUGUUUUACGAGCCGAAACCCUUCAUCACACACGCGGCGUUGCUCCAUCAGGCUUGCGCCCAUUGUGGAAGAUUCCCUACUGCUGCCUCCCGUAGGAGUAUGGGCCGUGUCUCAGUCCCAUUGUGGCCGAUCAGUCUCUCAACUCGGCUAUGCAUCAUUGCCUUGGUAAGCCGUUACCUUACCAACUAGCUAAUGCACCGCGGGUCCAUCUCUUAGUGAUAGCAGAACCAUCUUUCAACCAACAACCAUGCGGUUGUUGGUAUUAUACGGUAUUAGCACUUGUUUCCAAAUGUUAUCCCCUGCUAAGAGGUAGGUUACCCACGUGUUACUCACCCGUUCGCCACUCUUUGUCAGAUAAAAUCAAAAUUAGAGCAAGCUCGUCAGAUCAAUUAAAGACAAAAGCGUUCGACUUGCAUGUAUUAAC
rnacentral:rRNA from 1 species